rnacentral:rRNA from 1 species
GGAGGGGUGCAAGCGUUACCCGGAAUCAUUGGGCGUAAAGCGUCCGCAGGCGGUUUAUUAAGUUGGGUUGUUAAAUCUUGAAGCCCAACUUUGAGGCUGUAGCCAAAACUGAUAAACUAGAGUUUUCCAGAGGCAUGUGGAAUUCUGUGUGUAGGGGUAAAAUCCGUAGAUACACAGAGGAACACCAAAAGCGAAGGCAGCAUGCUGGGGAAUUACUGACGCUCAUGGACGAAAGCGUAGGUAGCGAACGGGAUUAGAUACCCCGAUAGUCUACGCCGUAAACGAUGGAUACUAGUUGUUGGAGGACUCAACCCAUUCAGUGACGACGCUAACGCAUUAAGUAUCCCGCCUGGGGAGUACGGUCGCAAGAUUA